rnacentral:rRNA from 1 species
UGGGGGAUAUUGCACAAUGGGCGAAAGCCUGAUGCAGCGACGCCGCGUGGGGGAUGAAGGCCUUCGGGUUGUAAACUUCUUUUGCUCUGAACAAGGCGCACCAUGGGGUGUGUUGAGUGUAGGGGUUGAUUAGCGCCGGCUAACUACGUGCCAGCAGCCGCGGUAAUACGUAGGGCGCGAGCGUUGUCCGGAAUUAUUGGGCGUAAAGGGCUUGUAGGUGGCUGGUUGCGUCUGUCGUGAAAGCUCAUGGCUUAACUGUGGGUUGGCGGGGGGUACGGGCUGGCUUGAGGGCAGUAGGAGAGGCUGGAAUUCCUGGUGUAGCGGUGGAAUGCGCAGAUAUCAGGAGGAAUAACGGUGGCGAAGGCGGGUCUCUGGGCUGUUACUGACACUGAGGAGCGAAAGCAUGGGGAGCGAACAGG